AUACGGAGGGUGCAAGCGUUAUUCGGAAUCACUGGGCGUAAAGGACACGUAGGCGGGAAGCCAAGUCUGAUGUGAAAUCCUACAGCUUAACUGUAGAACUGCAUUGGAAACUGGUUACCUAGAGUAUGGGAGGGGGAGAUGGAAUUAGUGGUGUAGGGGUAAAAUCCGUAGAUAUCACUAGGAAUACCUAAAGCGAAGGCGAUCUCCUGGAACAUUACUGACGCUCAGGUGUGAAAGCGUGGGGAGCAAACAGGAUUAGAUACCCUUGUAGUCC
rnacentral:rRNA from 1 species